rnacentral:pre_miRNA from 1 species
CUUGUACUCCCUCCGUCUCAAAAUUCUUGUCUUAAAUUUGUCUAGAUAUGAAUGUAUCUAGUCAUAUUUUAGUAUUUUGAUACAUUCAUCUAAACAAGCUUAAGACAAGAAUUUUGGGACGGAUGAAGUAUUUA